rnacentral:SRP_RNA from 1 species
CAAUCAAACUUCAAGGCACUGCCCCAGGAUGGGAACAUAGCAAGGCACCUUGAUUUUUGGUGUGUUGAGGUAUCUGGAAAGGA